rnacentral:rRNA from 1 species
ACGGAAGGCAGCAGUGGGGAAUAUUGCACAAUGGGGGAAACCCUGAUGCAGCAACGCCGCGUGAGUGAAGAAGUAUUUCGGUACGUAAAGCUCUAUCAGCAGGGAAGAUAAUGACGGUACCUGACUAAGAAGCCCCGGCUAACUACGUGCAGCAGCCGCGGUAAUACGUAGGGGGCAAGCGUUAUCCGGAUUUACUGGGUGUAAAGGGAGUGUAGGUGGCCUGGCAAGCCAGAUGUGAAAGCCCGCGGCUCAACCGCGGGACUGCAUUUGGAACUGUUAGGCUUGAGUGCAGGAGAGGAAAGUGGAAUUCCUAGUGUAGCGGUGAAAUGCGUAGAUAUUAGGAGGAACACCAGUGGCGAAGGCGGCUUACUGGACUGUAACUGACGUUGAGGCUCGAAGGCGUGGGGAGCAAACAGGAUUAGAUACCCUGGUA